UUUGGGAGCACACUGUGGCCCAUCUGCAAACCCCAGCGCAGAGCAACUUGUGCAGGAGUCUUCCCCAAUCUCUCACCAACCAAAUUCAGUACUGGAUUUUUAAGCAUAUUACUUCCAUGAUUGCUAGAGGAGCCAAGAGAAGCUAUGCAGCUGCUGCUGUUGCCAACCCGGGUGGCAUUCCACCUGGUUGACAGCUGGAGGAAUACGUGCAAUGCCUAGCAAGUCCCCGAGCUUCUUGGACGAGAAAUUGCUCACACCAAUCGCUCGGGCCUUGCCAGCAUCACAGAGUGAUUCCAUUGCCAUCCACGUACUUGGUAUGUCGACGCUAGUGAGAUUCUCCGGUUCAAAUGCUACCGAUCCUUUCUUCAUGCUAACAGGCCAGUGCAUCUUCAUAUGCACCCGGCCACGGACAAGAUUAGCACCAUCACUACUCAAAUUGGAAGCCAUAUAUAACUAACAGAAUAUUAGCCUUAGCAUAUAUACCAGAUAAAGAUCAACAUAGUCAAGCUGCAAAUCUCCCAAGGUUCUGUUUAAGGCCAAAGGCACAUCUUCUGGAGCAUGAUCAGAACACCUGCAGAUUUGGGAUUUAAGAAGAGUGGUUCAUCUUUGAUCAGUUACUGAUCAAGAUAGAUAAUUGCAACAAUUUUCAAUCAUGGCAAACCAGAGUUUAGAAGUAAUCCAUAGUUCGUCGCGCUUCACUACUCCUUCUUCAAACAGCUUCUUGAGGGUGUUACCAAUCUACAACAAGGUGUCAUAAACUCAUAAUUGAGAUACAAGAAAAAGAAGUUUUAAUCUAUUUGUGUUAUAUAGUUGCACAAGUUGCUUGUACGAGGAUUGAAUAUCUAUAAAAUAUACAUUUUACAUGAA